CUGCUAUCGGGAUGGGACUAAGACAUGCUAGUCGUGCGUCUUCCAGCCAUGUAGAAGGCGCGGCAUACAGCUCAGUAACACGUGGCUAACCUGCCCUUGGGACGGGAACACCCCCGGGAAACUGGGGCUAAUCCCCGAUAGGUGAAGAACUCUGGAAUGAGUCUUCGCCCAAAAGGCGUCGGAUCAUGCUUUCGGCGUCGCCCAAGGAUGGGGCCGCGACCGAUCAGGUUGUUGGUGAGGUAACGGCCCACCAAGCCUAUAACCGGUGCGGGCCGUGAGAGCGGGAGCCCGGAGAUGGGCACUGAGACAAGGGCCCAGGUCCUACGGGGCGCAGCAGUCGCGAAACCUUUGCAAUACACGAAAGUGUGACAGGGUCAUCCCGAGUGCCGACCGCUGAGGUUGGCUUUUACCCAGUCUAGAACGCUGGGGGAAUAAGGAGAGGGCAAGUCUGGUGUCAGCCGCCGCGGUAAUACCAGCUCUCCGAGUGGUGUGGAUGUUUAUUGGGCCUAAAGCAUCCGUAGCUGGCUAAGUUAGUCCCUUGUUAAAUCCACCGAAUUAAUCGUUGGAUUGCGGGGGAUACUGCUUGGCUAGGGGACGAGAGAGGCAGACGGUAUUUCCGGGGUAGGGGUGAAAUCCUAUAAUCCCGGGAAGACCACCAGUGGCGAAGGCUGUCUGCUAGAACGCGCCCGACGGUGAGGGAUGAAAGCUGGGGGAGCAAACCGGAUUAGAUACCCGGGUAGUCCCAGCUGUAAACGAUGCAGACUCGGUGAUGAAUAGGCUUAGUGCCUAUUCAGUGCCGCAGGGAAGCCGUUAAGUCUGCCGCCUGGGGAGUACGGUCGCAAGACU
rnacentral:rRNA from 1 species